AGCGAACGCUAGCGGCGGGCCUAACACAUGCAAGUCGAGCGGAGGGGCAACCCUCAGCGGCGAACGGGUGAGUAACACGUAGGUAAUGUACCCUCUGGUGGGGAAUAACCGUGGGAAACCAUGGCUAAUACCGCAUAUGUCUUUCGAGAUGAAAGCAGCAAUGCGCCAGAGGAGCAGCCUGCGGCCGAUUAUUUAGUCCUAGUUGGUGAGGUAAUGGCUCACCAAGGGUACGAUCGGUAGCUGGUCUGAGAGGAUGAUCAGCCACACUGGAACUGAGACACGGUCCAGACUCCUACGGGAGGCAGCAGUGGGGAAUAUUGCGCAAUGGGCGAAAGCCUGACGCAGCCACUCCGCGUGAGUGAUGAAGGCC
rnacentral:rRNA from 1 species